UCAAGCUACAAAGAGCGCAAGGGGAAUGCCUUGGCACUGGGAGCCGAUGAAGGACGCGACUAACUGCGAUAAGCUACGGGGAGCCGUAAGUAGGCAUUGAUCCGUAGAUUUCCGAAUGGAGCAAUCCGAUUAAAGUCAUGUUUAAUCAUCAUACACUGAAUACAUAGGUGUAUGAGGGGAACCGCCUGAACUGAAACAUCUAAGUAGGGCGAGGAAGAGAAAUCAACCGAGAUUCCGCUAGUAGUGGCGAGCGAACGCGGAGGAGGCCAAACCAAGAGUAGUAAUACUUUUGGGGUUUGGACAGCAAUGUGUAGGAUUAAGUUUAGCAGAAUGGCAUGGGAAGGCCAACGAAACAGUGUGAGAGUCACGUAUGCGAAAAGCGAAAUCCGCUAGCUGUAUCCAGAGUACCGCCGGACACGUGAAACCCGGUGGGAAUAUGGGGGGACCACCCUCCAAGCCUAAAUACUACCCAGUGACCGAUAGUGUAUAGUACUGUGAAGGAAAGGUGAAAAGGACCCCGGGAGGGGAGUGAAAAAGAACCUGAAACCUUGUGCUUACAAGCACCGAGAGCCCAUCAACGGGUGAUCGGGUACCUUUUGUAGAAUGGUCCGGCGAGUGAAUGUAACUGGCGAGGUUAAGGACUUAAGGUCUGGAGCCGUAGCGAGAGCGAGUCUGAAUAGGGCGUAUGAAGUCAGUUGUAUUCGACCCGAAACCGGGUGACCUACCCAUGUCCAGGUUGAAGUGGAGGUAAAACUCCAUGGAGGACCGAACCGACUCCCGUUGAAAUGGUAGCGGAUGAGGUGUGGGUAGCGGAGAAAUUCCAAUCGAACCCGGAGAUAGCUGGUUCUCUCCGAAAUAGUUUUAGGACUAGCCUCGUAUUAGAUUACCGGAGGUAAAGCACUGAAUGAGCUAGGGGCCGAGAGGUUACUGAACUCUAUCAAACUCAGAAUGCCGGAUAAUUGAUGUACGGGAGUCAGACAGUGUGAGAUAAGUUUCAUUGUCAAAAGGGAAACAGCCCAGACCCACAGCUAAGGUCCCAAAGUACGGUUAAGUGGAAAAGGAUGUGGGGUUGCACAGACAACCAGGAUGUUGGCUUAGAAGCAGCCACUCAUUAAAAGAGUGCGUAAUAGCUCACUGGUCGAGUGACCCUGCGCCGAAAAUUCAACGGGGCUAAACAAUGUACCGAAGCUUGGGAUUCUAGAUUUAUCUAGAGUGGUAGGAGAGCGUCGAAUAAGGGGUGAAGUCAGAGCGGAAGCGCUGGUGGACUUUAUUCGAGUGAGAAUGCCGGAAUGAGUAGCGAGAAUUAUGUGAGAAUCAUAAUGGCCGAAAGUCUAAGGUUUUUGAAGGAAGGUUCGUCCGCUUCAAGAUAGCCGGGAGCUAAGGCGAGGCCGAAAGGCGUAGUCGAUGCACAUACGGUUGAUAUUCCGUAGCCGUCCGAAGAUUUAAGCAAGGGGACACUUUGAAAGCGCAUGACCCGGGCGAUGGUAGCCCCGGGCGAAAGGGACUGAAAUUCAAGUAGGGAAGCAUGCGUGGACGAAGGCGAGAAAAGCCUUGUGUAUAUCCAAGAUGCCCGUACCGCAAACCGACACAGGUAGAUAGGAAGAGAAUUCUAAGGCCAACGGGAGAAGGGUAGUUAAGGAACUCGGCAAAUUGACCCCGUAACUUAGGAAUAAGGGGUGCCACAGCGAUGUGGUCGCAGAGAAUAGGCCCAGGCAACUGUUUAUCAAAAACACAGGUCUCUGCCAAAUCGAAAGAUGAAGUAUAGGGGCUGACACCUGCCCGGUGCUGGAAGGUUAAGAGGAGAUGUGCAAGCAUUGAAUUGAAGCCCCAGUAAACGGCGGCCGUAACUAUAACGGUCCUAAGGUAGCGAAAUUCCUUGUCGGGUAAGUUCCGACCCGCACGAAUGGUGUAAUGAUCUGGGCACUGUCUCAAUUACCCGCCCGGCGAAAUUGUAGUACCGGUGAAGAUGCCGGUUACCCGCGACAAGACG
rnacentral:rRNA from 1 species